GUUUGUUUGCUCAGAACUUUGUCCAGUGGUUUUGCAGAGCAACUAAUGACAGCAGGACAGUGAAAUUACUUAUCAAUGGACUAAAACGCAUGGAGAUCGGGAAAAAAUCAAAGAGGCUACCAACUGGACGUGGAGUUUUUCGCAGCUUGCUGCAAGAUUUGUUCUCCCGGGAUGCAAUCGGACAAGAUCGAUUGAAGCAUUUCUCUGCAGCUGGAACAGAUCCACUUUUUAGGAAGCUGCAGAGGACGACGAGUGUGAUGGGAUGAGACCAGACAUUCAGCACUUCCCCCCCAGGAUGAAAAGCGGCGUGUGCACGCACGCGCGUCUGUCAUCCUAACUAAAUGAGGACAUUCAUACGUAGAAGAAGCUGUAUUUAAGAACAUUGGCAAAAGAUACACAUACAUAAAAGAUUAUCAUCAGCGGAUAAUACCAAUCAAAACAACACUUUAUUCUUAUUAUGAUUAUAAUAUAAUUAGUGUAUCUCCUGGGAGUUAAGUCUACCCCUGUCUUUAAAAACAAA